rfam:Gossypium hirsutum cultivar TM-1 chromosome 16, whole genome shotgun sequence
AAUCCAUGGUGAGGGCACCUUCUCAAUAGAUCUUUGUAUCUCUCCCAUGCAUCAUAAAGUGUUUCUAAAUCCAUCUGCACAAAAGAAGAGAUAUCAUUCUGUAAUU